UUAUGUAUUUAAGCAAACACACACAGAUUUCUCUCAUUUUUUUUUCCAGCAAGAAAAUCUGGAGCACAUCCCUGCUCUGCAAUUCUUAUUCCACGGGGCCCCCCUGUUAGCCGGACCGGGCGGACACCCUCACCGGCGCAUUGACAUGCAACAAAGCUAAUGGUGGCCGGGACAGGAGGGCCUAAUCUUCACUAACUGACAAGAUUUAAAUUGAGGAGACAUCUUCCGCUGAUUAGCUCCCACACCCACAAUUAUCCAACUGGGGUGUCAAGCAAGAUCACACAACAGGAGGAGGAGGAGGAACACGAGAUGAGCAGGUUGUUAUCGGCAACAAAGAGCAAAAAAAAGAACGCUGUCUGGACUUCAUGCUGUACUUGAGCCUUUACGGUUAAGGAUUUCAUCCUUAAGAUCUUCAGUUCUCAGGAUCCGACCCAAAAUGUUUCCCAAAGACUGGAUCGUCAACAAG